AAAUUGAAGAGUUUGAUCAUGGCUCAGAUUGAACGCUGGCGGCAGGCCUAACACAUGCAAGUCGAACGGUAGCACAGAGAGCUUGCUCUCGGGUGACGAGUGGCGGACGGGUGAGUAAUGUCUGGGAAACUGCCUGAUGGAGGGGGAUAACUACUGGAAACGGUGGCUAAUACCGCAUAACGUCGCAAGA
rnacentral:rRNA from 3 species